AGCGGGGUGUAGCAAUACACUGCCGGCGACCGGCGCACGGGUGCGUAACGCGUAUACAAUUUGCCUUAUACAGGGAGAUAGCCCGGAGAAAUUCGGAUUAAUAUCCCAUAAUAAUUUUGUCUCGCAUGAGAUGAUUUUUAAAGCUACGGCGGUAUAAGAUGAGUAUGCGUCCUAUUAGCUAGUUGGUGAGGUAACGGCUCACCAAGGCUACGAUAGGUAGGGGGCCUGAGAGGGUUAUCCCCCACACUGGUACUGAGACACGGACCAGACUCCUACGGGAGGCAGCAGUGAGGAAUAUUGGUCAAUGGAGGCAACUCUGAACCAGCCAUGCCGCGUGCAGGAUGAAUGCCCUAUGGGUUGUAAACUGCUUUUAUUUGGGAAGAAACCUUUCUACGUGUAGAGAGCUGACGGUACCAAAGGAAUAAGGACCGGCUAACUCCGUGCCAGCAGCCGCGGUAAUACGGAGGGUCCGAGCGUUAUCCGGAAUCAUUGGGUUUAAAGGGUGCGCAGGCGGUAAAGUAAGUCAGUGGUGAAAUCCUGCAGCUCAACUGCAGAACUGCCAUUGAUACUGCUAUACUUGAAUAUAGUCGAAGUGGGCGGAAUGUGACAUGUAGCGGUGAAAUGCUUAGAUAUGUCACAGAACACCGAUAGCGAAGGCAGCUCACUAGACUAAGAUUGACGCUCAUGCACGAAAGCGUGGGGAGCGAACAGGAUUAGAUACCCUGGUAGUCCACGCUGUAAACUAUGAUUACUCGUUCUCGGCGAUAUACGGUCGGGGACUAAGCGAAAGUGAUAAGUAAUCCACCUGGGGAGUACGGUCGCAAGAUUGAAACUCAAGGGAAUUGACGGGGGCCCGCACAAGCGGUGGAGCAUGUGGUUUAAUUCGAUGAUACGCGAGG
rnacentral:rRNA from 1 species